GACGAACGCUGGCGGCGUGCUUAACACAUGCAAGUCGAACGGAAAGGCCCUGCUUUUGUGGGGUGCUCGAGUGGCGAACGGGUGAGUAACACGUGAGUAACCUGCCCUUGACUUUGGGAUAACUUCAGGAAACUGGGGCUAAUACCGGAUAGGAGCUCCUGCUGCAUGGUGGGGGUUGGAAAGUUUCGGCGGUUGGGGAUGGACUCGCGGCUUAUCAGCUUGUUGGUGGGGUAGUGGCUUACCAAGGCUUUGACGGGUAGCCGGCCUGAGAGGGUGACCGGCAACAUUGGGACUGAGAUACGGCCCAGACUCCUACGGGAGGCAGCAGUGGAGAAUAUUGCACAAUGGGCGGAAGCCUGAUGCAGCAACGCCGCGUGCGGGAUGACGGCCUUCGGGUUGUAAACCGCUUUCGCCUGUGACGAAGCGUGAGUGACGGUAAUGGGUAAAGAAGCACCGGCUAACUACGUG
rnacentral:rRNA from 1 species